UACGUAGUUGGCAAGCGUUGUCCGGAUUUACUGGGCGUAAAGAGCGCGCAGGCGGUCGUUCAAGUCGCGUGUGAAAGCCCCCGGCUCAACUGGGGAGGGUCACGCGAUACUGAUCGACUCGAAGGCAGGAGAGGGUAGUGGAAUUCCCGGUGUAGUGGUGAAAUGCGUAGAUAUCGGGAGGAACACCAGUGGCGAAGGCGACUACCUGGCCUGUUCUUGACGCUGAGGCGCGAAAGCUAGGGGAGCAAACGGG
rnacentral:rRNA from 1 species